rnacentral:rRNA from 1 species
CCAGCCAAGUCGCGUGAGGGAAGACGGCCCUACGGGUUGUAAACCUCUUUUGUCGGAGAGUAAAGUACGCUACGUGUAGUGUAUUGCAAGUAUCCGAAGAAAAAGCAUCGGCUAACUCCGUGCCAGCAGCCGCGGUAAUACGGAGGAUGCAAGCGUUAUCCGGAUUUAUUGGGUUUAAAGGGUGCGUAGGCGGCACGCCAAGUCAGCGGUGAAAUUUCCGGGCUCAACCCGGAGUGUGCCGUUGAAACUGGCGAGCUAGAGUACACAAGAGGCAGGCGGAAUGCGUGGUGUAGCGGUGAAAUGCAUAGAUAUCACGCAGAACCCCGAUUGCGAAGGCAGCCUGCUAGGGUGAAACAGACGCUGAGGCACGAAAGCGUGGGUAUCGAACAGGAUUAGAUACCCUGGUAGUCCACGCAGUAAACGAUGAUAACUCGUUGUCGGCGAUACACAGUCGGUGACUAAGCGAAAGCGAUAAGUUAUCCACCUGGGGAGUACGUUCGCAAGAAUGAAACUCAAAGGAAUUGACGGGGGCCCGCACAAGCGGAGGAACAUGUGGUUUAAUUCGAUGAUACGCGAGGAACCUUACCCGGGCUCAAACGCAGGGGGAAUAUAUAUGAAAGUAUAUAGCUAGCAAUAGUCACCUGCGAGGUGCUGCAUGGUUGUCGUCAGCUCGUGCCGUGAGGUGUCGGCUUAAGUGCCAUAACGAGCGCAACCCCUAUCGACAGUUACUAACGGGUCAAGCCGAGGACUCUGUCGAGACUGCCGGCGCAAGCCGCGAGGAAGGUGGGGAUGACGUCAAAUCAGCACGGCCCUUACGUCCGGGGCGACACACGUGUUACAAUGGCAGGUACAGAAGGCAGCCAGUCAGCAAUGACGCGCGAAUCCCGAAAACCUGUCUCAGUUCGGAUUGGAGUCUGCAACCCGACUCCAUGAAGCUGGAUUCGCUAGUAAUCGCGCAUCAGCCAUGGCGCGGUGAAUACGUUCCCGGGCCUUGUACACACCGCCCGUCAAGCCAUGGAAGCCGGGAGUACCUGAAGCAUGCAACCGCAAGGAGCGUACGAAGGUAAUACCGGUAACUGGGGCUAAGUCGUAACAAGGUAGCCGUACCGGAAGGUGCGGCUG